UAGGUGGUUUGUCGCGUUGUUCGUGAAAUCUCACGGCUUAACUGUGAGCGUGCGGGCGAUACGGGCAGACUAGAGUACUGCAGGGGAGACUGGAAUUCCUGGUGUAGCGGUGGAAUGCGCAGAUAUCAGGAGGAACACCGGUAGCGAAGGCGGGUCUCUGGGCAGUAACUGACGCUGAGGAGCGAAAGCGUGGGGAGCGAACAGGAUUAGAUACCCUGGUAGUCCACGCCGUAAACGGUGGGUACUAGGUGUGGGUUUCCUUCCUUGGGAUCCGUGCCGUAGCUAACGCAUUAAGUACCCCGCCUGGGGAGUACGGCCGCAAGGCUAAAACUCAAAGGAAUUGACGGGGGCCCGCACAAGCGGCGGAGCAUGUGGAUUAAUUCGAUGCAACGCGAAGAACCUUACCUGGGUUUGACAUGCACAGGACGCGUCUAGAGAUAGGCGUUCCCUUGUGGCCUGUGUGCAGGUGGUGCAUGGCUGUCGUCAGCUCGUGUCGUGAGAUGUUGGGUUGAGUCCCGCAACGAGCGCAACCCUUGUCUCAUGUUGCCAGCGGGUAAUGCCGGGGACUCGUGAGAGACUGCCGGGGUCAACUCGGAGGAAGGUGGGGAUGACGUCAAGUCAUCAUGCCCCUUAUGUCCAGGGCUUCACACAUGCUACAAUGGCCGGUACAAAGGGCUGCGAUGCCGUAAGGUUAAGCGAAUCCUUUUAAAGCCGGUCUCAGCUCGGAUUGGGGUCUGCAACUCGACCCCAUGAAGUCGGAGUCGCUAGUAAUC
rnacentral:rRNA from 1 species